rnacentral:lncRNA from 1 species
AUGCUCUGGAGAGUCCUUAAGUGUCCUGACAGUGAGAAGUUGUUUAAACUUCAUGGACCCUCACUUGGUACUAAGUGUCUCAGGGAUGCCAGUCUGACUCCAGACCACAAGAGUAUCUGGGCCAUGCGUGGGAAAUACGUCAGCACCAGUGUGCAUGGUUGGGAAGAACAAGUGUGGCCUAAUACUGCUCACACUGACACAGGUGGGCUACUUCUUCAUCACUGGAGCCACAUGUCAACUAUUCCCACCCAAUAUAGUAAGUGGAAAGCUGGGCUUGGAACUGCAACCAAGGAGAAUUCUUUGUUGUUGAAAUCAUCAAAUGUCCAGGCGGGACACCUGUGUGACUGA